rnacentral:tRNA from 1 species
GCCGCCUUAGCUCAGACGGCAGAGCAGCUCACUCGUAAUGAGCAGGUCAUCGGUUCGAUUCCGAUAGGCGGCUCCA